AGAAGUCCAUUUUGUAAGUCGCUCUGGAUAAGAGCGUCUGCUAAAUGACUUAAA
rfam:Salmo salar isolate Sally breed double haploid chromosome ssa24, whole genome shotgun sequence.